rnacentral:sRNA from 1 species
AGUUCGUUGAUUCUUG